UGUAAGAACUAAUGGUCGAACAGACCUAAUAAUUAAACUUCUGCAUUUAACAAUAAUCUUAAUCCAACAUCGAGGUCGCAAUCAAUUUUGUCGAUAUGUUCUCUUAAAAACUAUUACGCUGUUAUCCCUUAAGUAACUUAUUCUUUUAAUCAUAAAUUAUGGAUCAAUUCAUAAAUUACUGAAAAAAAGUUUAUUUUAUUUUCCUAUCACCCCAAUAAAAUAUUAUAUAAAGCUUUAAAGGGUCUUCUCGUCCUUUAAAAACAUUUAUGCUUUUUAACAUAAAAAUUAAAUUUUAAUACAUUUAAAUAAAGACAGUUUUUAUUUCAUCCGAUCUUUCAUUCCAGCUUUCAAUUAAAAAACUAUUGAUUAUGCUACCUUUGCACAGUCAAAAUACUGCGGCCUUUU
rnacentral:rRNA from 1 species